rnacentral:rRNA from 1 species
UACGUAGGGGGCAAGCGUUAUCCGGAUUUACUGGGUGUAAAGGGAGCGUAGACGGCCAGACAAGUCUGAAGUGAAAGCCCGGGGCUUAACCCCGGAACGGCUUUGGAAACUGGCCGGCUGGAGUGCCGGAGAGGUAAGCGGAAUUCCUAGUGUAGCGGUGAAAUGCGUAGAUAUUAGGAGGAACACCAGUGGCGGAGGCGGCUUACUGGACGGUAACUGACGCUGAGGCUCGAAAGCGUGGGGAGCAAACAGG